AUGAUCAUGGCGAAACUGGUAGACGCGCUUAAUUUAGGUUUAAGUCUUUAUGGGUUCAACUCCCAUUGAUCAUA
rnacentral:tRNA from 1 species